UUACGGCCAUAUCAAGUUGAAACUCUGUUCUCGUACGACCACUGAAGUUAAGUAACGCCGAACCCGCUUAGUAGCGAAAUGGGUGACCUCUUUGAAAUACCAGGUGCUGUAC